rnacentral:rRNA from 1 species
UACGUAGGGGGCAAGCGUUUUCAGGAAUUAUUGGGCGUAAAGCGCGCGCAGGCGGUGCGUUAAGUCGGAUGUGAAAGGCUACGGCUCAACCGUAGAGCUGCAUCCGAAACUGGCGGACUUGAGUGCAGGAGAGGGGAGUGGAAUUCCCGGUGUAGCGGUGGAAUGCGUAGAGAUCGGGAGGAACACCAGUGGCGAAGGCGACUCUCUGGCCUGUAACUGACGCUGAGGCGCGAAAGCGUGGGGAGCAAACAGG